UUCGGGGGAUUAUUUUUUCCAUCCAAAUGUUGGCCGAUAGAAUUGCACCAUGAGACAUAAUUUUCAACGAAUUGCCAUUUAAUCUGUCAGAUACAAUUGAGGGUUACUUCAUCAUUUGUUUUUUUUUAUAUAGGCAACAUGCAAAAUUUCCAGUGAAAUUUCCAAGAAUUUCCGCUGAAAUACCGUGUUGGCUAUACAAAAUAACGUCGAAUGGUGCAAUCGUAAAAAAUCCGAACCGACAAUCAACCUAGAAUCUGAGAAUUGUCACCGAGAGCAUCUUCAGCAGUGAUGGUCAUGAACUGUCAUGAAUUGUAAUCGAGCACCUCCAGCAGCAGGAGGCAUCAACUUCCUCGUACCUCAAAUCUCGAUGUAAAUAACCCCGUUGUAACAUUCCUUCCUGAAUUCAGCAGUGAAGUGCUAAAACGAGAUAAGUUGACUUAGCUCUCAGUCUAGUUUUUGAUGGUUAUCUCCGAAUUUAAGAGAGAUACGUGAAUUAUCGUCAAGACAUUUUUUGUAGCUCUCCAUUCGCUCCACAAAAAAGGUCUGAAUAACAAUUUUGCUACCUCCCCUAGAUUUCAAGAUAUUCAUCAAAAACAGGACCAUAGUCGAAAGUAACUUAUCUUGUUUUACCACUUCGUUACUGAAUUAUCGUAUCGCGUCCGGGUCUCUACGCUUCGCCACCCUGAGAGGUCAACCAAGUCCUCUACCCCCCUUCGCUCUGAGAUUCUCUCGAACAACAAAUGGAAACACAAGAGAAAAAAUGAAGAGCGAAUGAGACAAAAACAAGAGGAAAAGUGACAGAUACGACAGGUGGGAGUAUGUGUAACACGAUGGACGACGCCAUCUGGAUUAUAUUCGAAGGAGAGAGACCAUCUGAAAACCCUCGGUAAAAUAUAUCUGAACAAGGAAACAUCAAUUGACGGUGACUCACCUUUUAUUGAAGGGGCGAACCCUAACGGCCACCUUCACCGAAGCCAUAACUCUCGAAACAAAACAAAGAACAAAUGACCAACGAAACAAUCACCAACACUCAACUCUUGUUUUAUUCACAAAAUUUAACACUCCUGUUAUGCGUUAAGUGAUCCAUCGUAAUCCUGAAUUAUUGUCUUCGGGGUUAUUCUCGUAAAAUGGUAGUUUGCACAGCCACACAACUCCAUUAUCAGACGCACUUUCCUGCCCCUCAAUGUUACGCUUGAGACACUGGCGCACUGACUGGCGACUGAAUAUUUAGAACUUGUGUGAGAGGGUCAGUUGAUGGUUGGCCACGAUGAUAGGGCGGUGGGGGGUGAUAAGAGGAAUUUUCAAACUGUGCAUUUCAGACAUAGAGGACAGACUGAAGUAGAGGCUCAGCUCCCGGAGGUCAGGUGACCCCACGCCAACAGUAGUAAUGAUCCCCACGAGAGAGGCGUCGCCGUCGAUUUUGGCAGUGGCUCAGGCGCCCGAAAGUUCCCUCACUAAUUGAAACAUUAUAUCUCCCUUCCUAAUGAAUAUUAAAGAAUGAAACCAACGUCACUUGGGGGGGAAUUAAAUUCUACGCAUUCCGACCAAGUUUCAUCCCUUAAUCUUGAUAAGUGAAAAUGAAAAACCACGAGGAAAGUCGGUGAGUGACGACAACCACAAUGGAAUCUCGGCGCAGAGGUGCUCAAAAAUUUCUCCGCUCGUUAAAAAAUUGUAUCUUCCUUCCUAAUCAAUAUUAAGGAAUGAAAGUGAUGCUGUUUGAAGAAGAAUUGAAUUCUCCCCAAUUGGGCAAAAUUUCAUCCCUUAAUCUCAAUAAAUAAAUAUUAAAAACUGGGAGGAAAGCCGAAGAGGAGCAGUAAACCCAAUGGAAUCUUGGCGCAGGUACCACGCUUUGAUUAAAUUACUCUCAAACCCAGAAAGUGUCGAAUCAAUCGUUAUCAGAUUUUAUACACAAGUAUGAGUCAAUGACAAUAUCCAACAUCCAAAAUUUAAUAUUUUUAGCUUAAUAUUUACGCUUUUCGACCACAUUUACAUUGAAAAUCUAUAAAAAAGGACAAUUGCUUGAAUAUCCAAAUCCCCCUGGGGGAGUCGAUCGAUAUUUCUAUUGAUUUCGAUAGAGAAUACCACGACGAAUAAUUAAAGAAGAAUGAAAUUCGAUUAGUCAUAGUAACGAUCAUGAGGAAAUGAUUAAAAAUAAAUAAACAUGCAAAAUUAUCGAUAAUUCUAAUUCGAUGAAACGUUUAAAUCAUAAAACACAAAACCCGAUUCUGUAAACUUCAUUCUGCAAGUCGAAUCCUAAAAACGUAAACGAUCUUCGGAAUUUACAUCGUUAGAACAGUUGCAGCGUACCUCGGUGCACAGGCAAAAAACUUUCGAGAAAAAUACCGUCUUGGAUUUGCAGAGUUAAAGCAGUCCAUUAUAAUUUAGCUCAGUCUUUAGGCCACUUAGGAAUCACCAGCUGUGGGGAUUGCCCGUGUGGUUCUUCUGAAGAUAUCAAUCACGUCCUCUGGCAGUGUCCGUUAUAUAUUUCCCAUAGGAAAACUACGACGAGGAGAUUGAGAGCUUGUGGCUUCUGCCCCCCGUACCCCACCAACUUCUUUUCAAAUUUAGUCGAUCCACAAUCUGUUCGUGCAAUAGAUGAUUUCCUGGAUAACGUUAAUCUCAGAACUUAAAAAACUAGGGCACUAUCAGCAACUUUACAACACUUUCCUUCUUGUCUAUUGUUGCCAAAUUUGGUCUCACAUUUAUGUAAUUUAGCAGAAUGAAUCCGAAGGUUCGAAUGCUUCGAAAUAAAAAAAAGCAGUUGCACUAGACCUUGUGAUCUUCCAUUGAAACCAAAAACUGAAAUUUCCUCAUUCCAAUGCAACGAAAAACUUGGACUUUUCAAUGGGGUGAGAAUCCACUGCAUAAUCAGAAAGUCUCGUAAAGUCUUGUAAAAAAAUACAAGAUGUGGAACGCUGCAUAAGUUGAUGGAUAAUGUUGGUAGAACUCUCAACACGAAUCUGAAGACCACACUGGACAUAAUAUGACAUCUCCACAGCUUCGUAUGAAGUUCUCGGUGGUGUCUGAUUCGUUGGAGAAAUUUUCAGAAUUUCUUACAAUUUUUUGAAGAAACAUCUCCAACUGGGUUGUAACAUUUUACUGCAAAUACACGGAAACAAAUAUAAAAAAACAUGACAGACUGAAGAAUAUUUAAUCAUUCACAUUAUACAUAAAUUCUCCAUUUUCUCAGUCAUUUCUUCAAAACAUAAUAUUUGCAUCGUUUCUAUGCCAAAAUCAAUAUGGAUACAAAUACAAAGGAAUUCCGGUGGACAUCUUUGAUGAUUAAUUUCAUCUCAGAAAACAUUCCGGCAGAUGGGACACGUCGGUUUUUGGCUCGUGGUGAACCAUUUGUAC